UUCACCCAACAGGCGGCUCUGAGCUGUUGGGGCAUUGGAGAAGUUAGGAAAUCAGCUCCUGUAGGAACAGACCCCACUCACCCGUAGCCAGAAGAGCAGCGAGGAUGCAGACAGCAAG